rnacentral:rRNA from 1 species
GACGAACCGUGCGAACGUUGUUCGGAAUCACUGGGCUUAAAGGGCGCGUAGGCGGGUCUGCAAGUCCGGGGUGAAAGCCCCCAGCUCAACUGGGGAAGUGCCUUGGAAACUGCGGGUCUUGAGGGAGGUAGGGGCAUGUGGAACUUCGGGUGGAGCGGUGAAAUGCGUUGAUAUCCGAAGGAACGCCGGUGGCGAAAGCGACGGGCUGGAUCUCUUCUGACGCUGAGGCGCGAAAGCUAGGGUAGCGAACGGG